rnacentral:rRNA from 1 species
CCUACGGGUGGCAGCAGUGGGGGAUAUUGCACAAUGGGGGGAACCCUGAUGCAGCGACGCCGCGUGGGUGAAGGAGUAUUUCGGUAUGUAAAGCCCUAUCGGCAGGGAAGAAAUUGGACGGUACCUGACUAAGAAGCCCCGGCUAACUACGUGCCAGCAGCCGCGGUAAUACGUAGGGGGCAAGCGUUAUCCGGUUUCACUGGGUGUAAAGGGAGCGUAGACGGCCAUGCAAGCCAGAGGUGAAAGCCCGGGGCCCAACCCCGGGAAUGCCCUUGGAACUGCAUGGCUGGAGUGCGGGAGGGGCAAGCGGAAUUCCUGGUGUAGCGGUGAAAUGCGUAGAUAUCAGGAGGAACACCAGCGGCGAAGGCGGCCUACUGGACCGCGACUGACGUUGAGGCUCGAAAGCGUGGGGAGCGAACAGGAUUAGAGACCCCAGUAGUC